CUUGCUAAACAUUACCUCUCAAAAAAACAAAAGAUGACACUUCCUGACAUGCCCUCUGUGUAUAAAUUGUUAGUCCCUCAGAUGUUCCCAUCACUGAAGGGAAUCAUACAGGCCUCGCUGACCAUCCCAGUUAGCAGCUGUGAGAGAUCUUUCAGUGCAUUAAUACGUCUACAUACCUGGUUUAGGAGCCCAAUGACCCGACAUAGAAUGCAUCAUGACAAUUGACAAAGAUACUAACACGCUCGGGAAAGAGUGAAUAAUUAAUUAAAGAACAAAGAAAACUUGAGUUACUCUUUGCCAAAUAAUUUGUUCUAAUACCAGAUUUGAAUUGACGCGACUCGACAUUAUGAACACUAAAGCUGCUUCUUUCUCCAAUAGAAAUUCCGGAUCAUACUCGUAGGCGACGUCAUGGCAACGUCGGCUAGCUAAUGCGUAGAAUCACGUCAUCGCGUCGAACCAACGUCUCGCGUCGAACUGCGCAUGUGCAGGCCGCCAAAAAUCAACGGCACGCCUUCGAUUAUAAAGCCGUUUUUCUUUGUUGUCGAAAAUCAAAACGUGUUAGUUUGUAAUUCUCACGAAUCUUGGAGCGAUACCAAAUUCAACUACUUUAAGACAUUGGCUCGAAUUUUGUUUGUGCCUUCAGGUUUCGAGGAAAGGAACAAACUAAGAAAUAAUUGUUAACUUCUCAAACCAAAGGCCCGGAAACUCUGUGCGUAAAUGUUACAUUCUGGCGCAUACCGCUUUUUACUAGCUAGCUGACGGAUGUUUUCAGACAUAUUUUUCAAAAGAUAUGGGAAGUCUUUUUUUUGUCUUGAAUUUCAUUCAAACGUAAUGGAGGCCAAGGGAUUUGCAGUAGUUCACCACCAGUAAAGGUACAGCGUUAACUAGCCUUUCAGGUUAGUACAACUAACUAGUUAGCGCAGCUGCAAACCGUAGUAGCCUAACCUAGCUUGUUAGCUAGCGAAAGAACAUGUGACUAGGUAGAUAGCAAAUGUUCGCUGGAUCUCCAAAUACGAUCUAGGCGUUUGCAGCCACUUAGCUAACUUAUAUUGGGCAAAUGAUAAUAGCUAGUUAUCAAGUUAGCUUGCUCACAUCAGUUUUAUGGUCCAUGUUUUAAUUGAUGCAAAAUGGACGUUAAGCAAGAGGAAAAUGAGCGGGAGCUAUCCCAAACAAUAAUUUGGUCUGAUUCGAUUAAUGCCUGGAUAGAUUACCCAAGUUCUCUAUUGUCAAAAAACACAGAAACAGGUUCCCAUGUGGGUUUACUGAAAGAGCGUACAUGUGUACCUACCGUAAGUCCCCAAACAACAAGUCGAGGGCAGAUUUUACGUAUUUUUCCUGAAAUGACCGGAGCAAGUGAUGGGGAGAACAGGGGUGUCAAAAUUGUUUAUUUCUGCAAAGACCAAGAUACCAUCAGCACAUCUGAAAGGCAUUCGAUCAAAGAGGAGUCAGGACAUGUAUCAACCCUCAGUGAUUCUUUUGAAGCUCAAAUCAACCCAAAGUCACAGGGUUUUAGCCGAAAACAGACCCGGACCAAUAAUGAAUUGCCUGUAGACAAUGUUAAUAUCCAAGGCCAUAGUACUGCCAUUACUUCUGUGCUGACCUCACCUGCUAUAGAAAGUGGCUAUAAUUUAUCUGUAUCUAAUAUUAUUCCAGAAUAUUGUGAGCCAUUGAACUUUCCCUCAGAUGAAGAAGAAGACUACAAUACCAAUUUAAGACGAAGAUUGCAAUGCCAAAAAACGGUUGAGGAUAAAUAUCUAUGGCAGUGCCGUGGCUGUUACUCAAAACCUAACCCCAAAAGAUUUGGGAAAUAUUUGAAAGAUCCAUAUGCUAAGUGCAAGGAAAUAGGAAUAGAUUUCCAUGUUAGAUCUGGAGCGAGACAGAAACUUGAUUUGCAUUUACUGACAAUUGGUGUAAUGAUCGAAGUGUCUGAAUAUGUUAAAAACAUUAAUAGAUCUAACAAGCAUGUUAUCUUUGAUAUUCUAGAUUACAACUUUGAUCUUGGUGUGCAAAAUGAAGUACGAGGUUACUUUUCAAACAAGAUAGAAAGAAAAUUAAAUGACAUGCUGAAGAUGUAUACCAAGAGGAGAAAUCCUGAGUGGUUAAAAGAAGUGUUUGAACUUCCUGAUUCAAAGACAAUGAACGCAUGGGGAAAAUCUCGGUUUGCACGGUCCAAUUUGAAUAACAGCGUGUCAGAAAAUCCUACACCUUUUGACAUCUGCAUAAAGGAGAAGCCUGUUGUGGACCUGAUAGCUCCUCUGCAUGUGACGACUGAGAACCUCUCUACUCAGACAGAUGUAACACGAUGUGCUGAGACAGCAAUCCUUGACCCUGAAAAUGGACCUAAUGAUAUCUGCACAAGGGAUAAGUCAGAUCUGGGCGUCAUCCAUCAUGUCAAGACGGAGACUGUCAGCACUCAGACAGACAUGACAAUGGACCAAUCCUUCAUGAUGCCCACAGUAGAAGAAGCAUUGAGUGAACUCUACCCAAUCUGUAAGGAAAAAGGACUUGACCUUGAUGUGAAAUCAACAUUUGGGAAAAAGGAGAAACUUGACUUGCGUCUAUUGACCAGAGAGGUAAUGAUUGAAUUGGCUGAUUUUACCUCACAAAUGUGUGGAAAUUGGAAGCAGAUGGUCUGUGAUGUUGUUGAGCAUAAUUUUGAUCUGGAUUUAAAAAGUGGGAAAACUGACCUGGCUGAAGAUAUCAUUAAUAGGUUAAGAGCAGCUUUGCAGCCCAAUGUAAAUUUAAAAUUACAUGAUCACCGACUGAGAUGUGAAUUAGAAAAGGAAUACUUUUUCUUGAAGAAUUCGUGCAAACUCAAGAAUGAUACAGAGAUGUCCAGUAACCAGGUAACUACAGCAUCAUUUGAGCCGAAUGAUCAAAUGAAAGAAGUGUCGAAAAGGAGGAGAUUGGAUUUAAUGAAAAAGGAAAAAGAAAUGGACACGUGCGUAGCCAGGGAGACGGAGGGAGUCCGUUUCGAAGUCAGACCAGUAGAAUCUCAUUGUGUCAAGAAGGAGAGAAUCUCUGAUGAGACUGACCUUGCACUUUGUAUUGAUGAAACAAAGCAAAUUGUUGUUACCAACUUGGACCAAUCAAAUGUGACGUCUAACACCAAAAAAGUUGUCAACGCGUGCUACACACGCUGUGAGGAAAUAGGUCUGGACCUUGAUGUUGCAUUCAAACCCUCUAAAAAGAAACUGGAAUUUCAGUUACUGACAAACGGUGUAGUAUUUGAGGUGUAUAAAUAUGCUAAAAUAAAACCCUAUCCCCUAAAAGCAGAAGGAUGGGGGCAUAUUCUCUAUGCUAUUCUAGAAUACAAUUUUGACCUUAGUUUGCAAAAUCAGAGACGAAGUCAAUUUCAAUUUUGGAUUUAUCGUAAAGUGAAAAGAAUGGUUAAAAAACACAGACUUCAACUCACAAGAAGGGACAAACUCUCAAAAGAAUUGUUUGUAAUACCAAAUGUGAUUCAAACCAAAGCAAAAAAAACAGUGCUUUAAGAUUAUUUCCCCGGAAAAAUGUAUGGAACAAGAUGAACAAAAACGAGUUUAUCUUCAUCAUGUUAGACACUAUCGCCAUGGAGACGAUUUGAAACAAUCUCCACUGAUGAAGCAGCAAUGCUUGGCCAGGAUAAAAUGGACCAGACCUUCACUCUGAGAUCAAAGUGGUUUAUUUCUGUGAAGACCAAGAUACCGUCAGAACAUCUGAAGAGCACUUGAUCAUGGCAUGGAUCAACACCCAGUAAUAUUCGGGAAAAAAAUGUAUUCAGCCUCCCACAAGUCACCACUACCGACUGCAGAAAGGAGUUCUUUUGAAAGUCAAAUCAACCCAACUUCACAGAUGUUUUUUAAAAUAUUUUUAUUUCACCUUUAUUUAACCAGGUAGGCAAGUUGAACAAGUUACGUUAUGUAACAAGUUAUGUAACCAGAAGGUCACUACAGCUUCACUUGAGCCAAAGACUGAAAGGAGUAACAGAAAAGAGGAGAUUUAAUGAGGAAAAAUAAAUAAGUUGAUAUGUUUUAUAGCCACGAAGACCAAUGACAUGUAAUGCUAUGAAGUCAGACAAGUAGAACCUCAUUGUGACGAGACAGAGAGCAUCUCUGAUGUUUCAUCCCAGUAGAACCUCAUUGUGACGAGACAGAGAGCAUCUCUGUUGUUUCAUCCCAGUAGAACCUCAUUGUGACGAGACAGAGAGCAUCUCUGUUGUUUCAUCCCAGUAGAACCUCAUUGUGAUGAGUCACAGAGCAUCUCUGGUGUCAGAGGAAGGUCUUAAAAAUUGUCAGACUGUUCUGUCUGCUACCGCACAGCAAGCGGUACCGGAGCGCCAAGUCUGGGACCAAAAGGCUCCUUAACAGCUUCUACCCCCAAGUGAUAAGACUGUUAAACAGUUAAUCAAAUGGCUACCCGGACUAUUUGCAUUGCCCCCCUUUUUUAUGCUGUUGCUACUCGCUGUUUAUAAUCUAUGCGUAGUCAGUUUACCCCUACCUACAUGUACAUAUUACCUCAAUUUACACGACUAACCUGUACACCCGCACAUUGAUUCUGCACCGGUACCCCUUGUAUAUAGUCUCCUUAAUGGUAUUUUAUUGUAUUACUUUUUUAUCUUGCUUUAGUUAUGUUUUUUAAAUAGCAAAUAUUUUCUUAAUUAAUAAAAAAAAUCUGCAUUGUUAGUUAAGAGCUUGUCAGAAAGCAUUUCGCAGUAAGGUCUACACCUGUUGUAUUCGGCGCGUGUGACAAAUAAAAUUGUAUUUGAUUUAACUUAAUCUCCUCUCGGCCAGGAAAUAGAAUGGAGAAAAAUAUUACCGUGACCAGGAAAAGGAGUCUGAUGCAGAUAGAUUAAAGUCAUUGUAAUAUGUUAGGUUGAUUCUUGCCAAACUUUUUAAAUAUUUUGUAGUCGAGACUGGUUCUGAUAAGAAAUUCAAACAAAUCCCAGAAUUACAGAUCAGAUAUCCUAGGGUUUGUGGGUAUUAGAAAAUAUGCAAAACGUCAAGUGCUGUCAGUGUUGCAUUUGUAACCUUUGACAUGUUCAAGAAAACUCGCUCUUUGGAAUGCCUCUGGACAAUGGACAGUGAAAAAGACUUGUGUUGAAAUCAGGGCAGAGAGAACAGGGUUGUAGUCAAAAAGAAGAAGGGCUGUUGAGCAGGUGUGGUAGAGAGAAACACUAAAGCAGUGGAGCUAAAGUCUGGACAGGAUGUAGUCUAACGGUGGAAAAAAUUACACAAACUGGUUGAUGCACACAUUACAAUGACAACAGUUGCAACAAGCUUACUCUGAAUUGACCCAAAGACCAUACUUAGAAUGGUUCCUAAUGGAAGACUAAUUUCCUGUCUCCCUGAAGUCAAUAGACUCACAUUCUAUACCUCACAGAGUCAACAAGCCUACCAGAGAUUCAACUCCAUUGUAUUCAUUAGGAAUACUGUAGCAAAACGUGCAAAUGGUGUACCAAUUAACCUAGUCUUUUUAGUAUUCAGUGAAAUAAUGGGAAAUGUAUGUAUGUAUAUAUGUAUAUGUGUUUGACUUAUUUGGAUUAAGGGUUUAGACUUUGAUUUGUGGAUUGUGUAGAUUCCCUUGGCCUCCUGUUAACACUUGAUGCCUGGUCUUGCUGUAAAGAGACUGAAUACAGCAUGAUUAUUGCUACACUUCAUUUGUUUUCAGCGUUGAACGACGUUUCAAUUGACAAGCCAAACUCCACUACCUUUACAAGCCUCAAUAGAAGAACCUCUGAUCUUCUUUGUUAGAUAUAAGAAGGUAAACAAGGAUAUAUAUAUUUUUUUAAAUAAGACUUGCGUUGGUGAAAGAACCUACUAUGAUGGAGCAUGUUUUUCUUUUAGAAAAUAUAUUUGGAACUUUUCCGGGGUUUUUUCUAGCAAGAUUAAGAGACCGUACAUCAAGACUUGCUUUACUGAAACCAGUACUUCCUGUUUUGAACAUGAAGUUAUUCUACCAUCAACUGUGAAGUGGAAGUGUUUUGUUUGUUUUGAAGAGGACACUUUCACUAACGUUCUUAGCUGUUUCUCGGGACACCUGUGAGCCUCGGAUAAAAAGGUGAUGUGUGUUUGCAGUCUUAUCCCUUUUCUACUGUUUCAACUCUUCACAAAUGAAAACAUCUAAUCGCCAAAGGUUGACGCCAAUAAAGUCUCUCUGCUGGUGACGACGAGGUGGCCUCUACUAGUGAAGACGAGGUGGCCUCUCUACUAGUGAUGACGAGGUGGACUCUCUACUAGUGAUGACGAGGUGGACUCUCUACUAGUGAUGACGAGGUGGCCUCUCUACUAGUGAUGACGAGUCGGACUCUCUACUAGUGAUGACGAGGUGGACUCUCUACUGGUGAAGACGAGGUGGCCUCUCUACUAGUGAUGACGAGGUGGACUCUCUGCUGGUGAAGACGAGGUGGACUCUCUGCUGGUGAAGACGAGGUGGCCUCUCUACUAGUGAUGACGAGGUGGACUCUCUGCUGGUGAAGACGAGGUGGCCUCUCUACUAGUGACGACGAGGUGGCCUCUCUGCUGGUGACGACGAGGUGGCCUCUCUGCUGGUGACGACGAGGUGGCCUCUCUGCUGGUGACGACGAGGUGGCCUCUCUGCUGGUGACGACGAGGUGGCCUCUCUGCUGGUGACGACGAGGUGGCCUCUCUGCUGGUGACGACGAGGUGGACUCUCUACUGGUGAGUUCCUGACAUUUUGUGGGUGGAGGUUUUUCAUGUUCACUGUAGACUUCUAUCAACAUGGACCGACUAGGGAGAAUAACUGCAUCUACACAACUGUCUUCCUUAACUAGCUGCUUUUAGCAACGCUAGAAUUUUAUGUGCACGCUAGCAUUGCUGGGAAUUAUUUAGCAAAAAACCUGAAUAGUCCGCCGGAAUUCCACAAGUUAAAUAAAAUUAAGUUUCAAUUUAUUCUGUCGAUUGUCUGUAGUCUUGGUCCUUAUGCAAGGGGGGAUGGGGGGGGGGGGAAUUUAACGUAGAAUUAAACCGAAUUUUCAAACGUGGGUUUGAAUUUUAUUUAGCUUCCGGCGGACUAUUACGUUUUUUUUGCAAACUAAUUCCUAAAUACUUACUAAAAUCAGCUACUGUAAAACAUUUUCAUGAGGCACUUAUUUUUUGUCCUUCUCUAAAUGUAACCUUUAUUUUACCAGGGCGGGUCAAUUAAGAACAAAUGAUUGUGUACAAUGACGGACUGAUCCUCUAUUUCCAUACAAGAUGGACAUGAAGUCUGUCUCCAUCUUCAACCUGUGGAUUUGCUCUGAGGAUGUUGGACACCACCGUUGCACCUUCAGCCACACUAAUUUCCUGUCAGACUGGUUGUCUUUGAACUCCAUGCCAUGGACUGACUAAUCUGAACAUUUACUACAACAGGAAUACAAAUGUUCAUCAGACUCACCACACACGGUGGACAGACUACUCUCUAACUGGUUGUGAGGUUACAGGAAAUAGACUGAUCUGUUAUGAGGGACUGCCAGGUUGUGUAACAGAAUAAUACAGCCAGCUCAUCUUCAUUUCUCUUCUGUUAGGCCUUCUGACAUGUUGGUCUCUGUUGUUGGAACUGUCAGUCUUUGUUCUGGGCUUCAGUUUUCAUCAUGGUGGAUGCAGAAUUGUAAUCCUGAUUAGAUUAUGGUUAUAAAGACUUCAGGAUGUAGCCAGUACAUUGAAGUCCACUCUCUAGAUAAUAUAAAAGUCCUGGGAGAGGGACCGUGCUUCCAGGAGAAGGAUAACAGGACCUUGUCCAGAGACAACCCCCAGCCCUUAACCUCCAAGGGACUUGUGUACAGGGAGUUUAAUACAGAGAAUGUAAUACAAUAUUUGAUACGAUCAGGGAAUUUGACAUACAGUAUGGAUUACGUUUUGAAAAUUCAAUGAUCAUUACAUUUAUUUUUUUGUCAUUUUUUCCCCCCACAUUUUAUUGCACUGUAAGUGUUUGGCAGUUCUCAUGGAAACGUGGAAUUUUUUAACGUGUCUUAAGAGUGGAAACCCUAGAAAUGUACCCUCUGAUAGGCUAGAUCGAAUAAUUUCAGAUCUGUGAACAUUUCGUCUUUCAGAGGGCAUGUUUUACCUGAUUAUACCACAGUCUUUGAGUUUUACAUGAAUUCUAGUCUUAUCAACAAAAAAACACCACAUCCGGAAUGGGCGCCAGAUUUGUUUUGGGAAAAACGUUUUAAUUUUGUAAAAUAAAAAAUCCUGUAAUUCUACACAUUUUGCCAUGUUUUUAUGACGUGUUCAAAGUCUGAUUUGUAUUGUAUUCUUUGGGUUGGGGGGCCCCCUGGAGGUCAGGCAAGCGCCCUGCAUGUCCGGUCAGUAAUCCUGCUCUACUCCUGUGUCGGGUUCACAAACUUUUUCUGCAAACAAUUCCAAAUUGACACUAGAAAAUGGAGGGGACCCUACUUGGAGAAAUUAUAAUCCCAAAUUAACACUUCAGAUUCACAGCUUUAGGUACCUCAGGCUGUCCCAACAACAAUAAUGAUAUGAAAAAGCGCAUUCCAAUAGUGUAAAAAAGCAUUAAGGUCCCGAUUCAAUCAGAUCCGCACGUCGUCGGAGCUGUCAAAUCCACAAGUGCUGCACGGAGUUGCAUUAGCGUAUAUGCACCUAAAUAUUUUUGCUCUGCGACCUGGAAUUUUAAUUUUACGAGAAGAAGAAAAAAAAAUCGCCCAGAUAAUUGUUGCAAUGGUUCCUUCACUACGGAAGCCCCUAAAUGUGGGGGACACACUGAGCACAGGUUCAUGACCGUCAUACUUGCACCAUUACUACAAAGAAAACGGCUUGUUAUCAACAACAACCACAAAAUUGUGCUCCUACUUUUUCCCUUGUAAAAAAAAAAGGUAGAGGACUGCCUUGUUUACGUGUUCAAACACUGGAAUGUGAGAUGUAAUCCUAUACCCUGAUUAAAAUGAUAGAACACCUAAUUCUUUAAUGGUUUUUCAAUCUGAGUGUAAUUAUUUCAAUAUAGCCUAGUUUUGAACUUGUAACAGGAAUGGGACGGUUGUGACUUUGUGACAAUUAUGCAAGAGCAGUUGCUCACUAAUUUAAAGGCUUUCAAUGCAGUCCCACUGUCAAAACAUCCGCUCUUACUGGGUAACACUUGAUCUUAUUAAAUCUAGACCUGAAAGGUUGUAUUCCAUAACUACUUGAAGAAAAAAAUAGUUCUUC
rnacentral:lncRNA from 1 species